rnacentral:rRNA from 1 species
GUACACGCUGUGACUAGCAUAUCAAUAAGCGGAGGAAAAGAAACUAACAAGGAUUCCCCUAGUAACGGCGAGUGAAGCGGGAAGAGCUCAAAUUUGAAAUCUAAAGGGUUUCCCUUUACGAAUUGUAGUUUAAAGAAGUGUUUUCUGUUGAGGUUUUGGUAAAAGUUCUUUGGAAUAGGACAUCAUAGAGGGUGAGAAUCCCGUAUUUGACCUUUACUUUCAACUUUGUGAUACACUUUCAAAGAGUCGGAUUGUUUGGGAAUGCAGUCCAAAAUGGGUGGUAAAUUUCAUCUAAAGCUAAAUAUUGGCGAGAGACCGAUAGCGAACAAGUACCGUGAGGGAAAGAUGAAAAGAACUUUGAAAAGAGAGUUAAACAGUACGUGAAAUUGUCAAAAGGGAAGCGUUUGACACCAGUGUUGUUUUUCUGAAAAUCAAUUAAAGAACUGUUUAUGCUAAGCUUGUUUAGACUUUAUCAGCUAACUGUUUAGUUUUGAGCUUUUCUUUAAUGCACUUUUCAGUUAACAAGUCAACAUCAAUUUCUUUUGCUGUAAAAAAGCUUGAGGAAGGUGGCUUGAGAUUCGUCUUAAGUGUUUAUAGCCUCUUGCCUAUGCAGUCGGAGAGAUUGAGGUCUGCAGCGUAGAUCCUUCGGGGCUAAAUGCAUUUGUGCUAAGUUAUAGCAUUUUAUAGACAACUUGUUGACUAUGAUUUGUCUUGUAGCUUACUCGCUUAUGUUAUUUUACCUACGCUUAGGAUGUUGAGUCGUAGAGCACGCAG